UGCUCUCUCAUGGAUCACCCGUACACGAAGAUUGUAUGGGUGAUCAACCAACAUUCCACGGAGACUACCCGCACCUUGCAGAGUUGUACCAUAAUCUUCAGAACAUUCAGUAAAACGUUUGCAAGCUGCCCUUUGAUUGAGGAGCUGCAGCUUUGUAUCAUUGAAAUAUUGGAUCAGUAUUUGCAGACCUAUGGGAUGGCAUCAAUUUGAAAUCUACUUUCAGAAGAAUGGACAUAUGGCAAUCCAUUGUUGGGAUGCUCAGGAACUGGGCCAUGUUGUGCGCGGCGAAGUACUUGGAGAAGUUCAACUUGUAGGUGUCGCGCUCGGAAGCCUCGGUGUCCCGUUCGGAGAGGAUUCAACUAGUGGGUGCUAUGUGACGGUGCCUAGAUUCAAUUUCCAAGAAUAGAAGCUACUGAAACUGAAGCCUUUCAACCUGGAAGUGCAGAUGGAAGUCUGAAACCAAGGGACUAAAGUCACAACACAGAGUAGCAGUCUGUUUUCUCUUUUUGUUUGCAGAGAUGUCUUUAUCAUGGUAAAACUGUAUGGCUGGAUCUUGUUCUGCGUAGAUGGCGCACAUCGGUGCUAGAAGAAGACUUUUACUGUAAUCGAUACUGUAGAACUGAUUUGGUCCUGAAUCAAAAACAAUACAUUCAGAGUUGAACGUGGCAUAUCAGCCGUUUCAUCUUUCAGUGUUCACUGCACAAUCGCGCCUGACCGAAUUUAUCUUGAGGCUGGUACUCCCCAAGCAUGAGCUUCACAAUUAAGAUACAAUCAGUUAACAAUCUGGCCACCACCCUGCAGGUGGCCAGGAGCUUAAUCCCUGCAAAUGCUCCGGCAGCCUGGCUGCAGCAUUUCAGCAAGCAGCUUGGGCCAUCGGAGGCUUCGCAGGGCUAGCAUCUCCACACACUUGUCUCGAACUCGUCACCACUGGAGCUCGCCAUGAACGCCGAUGUGAGCCUAGUUGCGCGGGUCCGGUCAGAUGGAGCAGCGGGAGCGCAUGAUUGGUGCCUUGGCGGGUUGGAUGGAUG